rnacentral:rRNA from 1 species
AUUGAACGCUGGCGGCAGGCCUAACACAUGCAAGUCGAGCGGAUGAAGGGAGCUUGCUCCUGGAUUCAGCGGCGGACGGGUGAGUAAUGCCUAGGAAUCUGCCUGGUAGUGGGGGAUAACGUCCGGAAACGGGCGCUAAUACCGCAUACGUCCUGAGGGAGAAAGUGGGGGAUCUUCGGACCUCACGCUAUCAGAUGAGCCUAGGUCGGAUUAGCUAGUUGGUGGGGUAAAGGCCUACCAAGGCGACGAUCCGUAACUGGUCUGAGAGGAUGAUCAGUCACACUGGAACUGAGACACGGUCCAGACUCCUACGGGAGGCAGCAGUGGGGAAUAUUGGACAAUGGGCGAAAGCCUGAUCCAGCCAUGCCGCGUGUGUGAAGAAGGUCUUCGGAUUGUAAAGCACUUUAAGUUGGGAGGAAGGGCAGUAAGUUAAUAACUUGCUGUUUUGACGUUACAAACAGAAUAAGCACCGGCUAACUUCGUG